rnacentral:rRNA from 1 species
UACGGAGGGGACUAGCGUUGUUCGGAAUUACUGGGCGUAAAGCGCACGUAGGCGGAUUUGUAAGUCAGGGGUGAAAUCCCGGGCUCAACCUCGGAACUGCCUUUGAUACUGCGAAUCUCGAGUCCGGAAGAGGUGAGUGGAAUUCCUAGUGUAGAGGUGAAAUUCGUAGAUAUUAGGAAGAACACCAGUGGCGAAAGGCGGCUCA